rnacentral:rRNA from 1 species
CCCUUAGAUGCUCUGGGCCGCACGCGCGCUACACUGGUCGAUGCAACGAGUUUCUUUCCUUGGCCGACAGGCCUGGGCAAUCUUUGAACAUCGAUCGUGAUCGGGAUAGAUUCUUGUAAUUUUUGAUCUUAAACGAGGAAUCCCUAGUAAACGCAAGUCAUCAGCUUGCAUUGAUUACGUCCCUGCCCUUUGUACACACCGCCCGUCGCACCUACCGAUUGAAUGGUCCGGUGAAAUCUCCGGACUGGCGUGAGUCGGAGCAAUCUGACAAACGCCGGAAAGUUGAUUAAACCUUACCAUUUAGAGGAAGGUGAAGUCGUAACA